CAGUAGCCGCGGGAAUACGAAGGGUGCAAGCGUUACUCGGAAUUACUGGGCGUAAAGCGUGCGUAGGUGGUGGUUUAAGUCCGUUGUGAAAGCCCUGGGCUCAACCUGGGAAUUGCAGUGGAUACUGGGUCACUAGAGUGUGGUAGAGGAUAGUGGAAUUUCCGGUGUAGCAGUGAAAUGCGUAGAGAUCGGAAGGAACAUCUGUGGCGAAGGCGACUGUCUGGGCCAACACUGACACUGAGGCACGAAAGCGUGGGGAGCAAACAGGAUUAGAUACCCCUGUAGUCCCUGUCUCUUAUAC
rnacentral:rRNA from 1 species